GGGUUGUGAGGUUAAGCGACUAAGCGUACACGGUGGAUGCCCUGGCAGUCAGAGGCGAUGAAGGGCGUGCUAAUCUGCGAUAAGCGCCGGUAAGGUGAUAUGAACCGUUAUAACCGGCGAUACCCGAAUGGGGAAACCCAGUGUGACUCGUCACACUAUCAUUAACUGAAUCCAUAGGUUAAUGAGGCGAACCGGGGGAACUGAAACAUCUAAGUACCCCGAGGAAAAGAAAUCAACCGAGAUUCCCCCAGUAGCGGCGAGCGAACGGGGAGGAGCCCAGAGCCUGAAUCAGCAUAUGUGUUAGUGGAAGCGUCUGGAAAGGCGCGCGAUACAGGGUGACAGCCCCGUACACAAAAGCGCAUGUG
rnacentral:rRNA from 1 species